GACGAACGCUGGCGGCGUGCUUAACACAUGCAAGUCGAACGCUGAACCCGCUUCGGUGGGGGAUGAGUGGCGAACGGGUGAGUAACACGUGGGCAACCUGCCCCCGGCUCUGGGAUAACUCCAAGGAAUUGGGGCUAAUACCGGAUGUGACCGCUGGCCGCAUGGUCUGGUGGUGGAAAGGGUUUCCGGCUGGGGAUGGGCCCGCGGCCUAUCAGCUUGUUGGUGGGGUAGUGGCCUACCAAGGCGACGACGGGUAGCCGGCCUGAGAGGGUGACCGGCCACACUGGGACUGAGACACGGCCCAGACUCCUACGGGAGGCAGCAGUGGGGAAUAUUGCGCAAUGGGCGGAAGCCUGACGCAGCGACGCCGCGUGGGGGAUGACGGCCUUCGGGUUGUAAACCUCUUUCAGCAGGGACGAAGCGCAAGUGACGGUACCUGCAGAAGAAGCACCGGCCAACUACGUG
rnacentral:rRNA from 1 species